GUUCACUGCAUGCUCAGUCAGUUCAGUUUGAGGUUCAUAAAGGAAUUGAAGAUACUAAUGAUAUACUGUCAGUAGUGGUACCUCAAGAAUUAAGAGGAAGGAGUGAAGUAGUUAUAUUCCUAGCAGACAGACCUAUUAAAGAGGUUGUUUCUCUUGAUUCUUUGUUGCUGUCUUGUUUCAUUGAGCUUCAUAAGCAACAGUUGAUGUUAACUCCAUGGGAGCAGAUACUUAAAUCAGCUCAAAAUGUGCUCUUCAAUGAAGAACUGUUUGCACAGAUUGUACAAUCAUUUGUGAUCAGGAACUUGUAUUAUAUAAUGUGAAACUAUAAUUAACUAUUUAAGAGGAAAGGUCAUGACUAGUGGGUGGGUCAUCGAACCUUAUCGCUAUACAGAAAAACCACUGACACAAGUCACGCAUUUUGUGCAGGGGGUGUGGUUGUGGGUGGAGUCAAACAUGGUGUACAUUGAAUAGGUUGAUAUGGGAGGAGUACCAGCAACACUGGUUGUUAUUGUGUCAAGACGUCAGCCAUUAGCAGUGGCAUAUUUAUGUGAUUAUUUAGAAACAACUAGUUUAAA